rnacentral:rRNA from 1 species
UACGGAGGAUGCGAGCGUUAUCCGGAUUCAUUGGGUUUAAAGGGUGCGUAGGCGGAAUAAUAAGUCAGUGGUGAAAGCUUGCGGCUUAACCGUAAAAUUGCCGUUGAUACUGUUAUUCUUGAGUAUAGUUGAAGUAGGCGGAAUGUGUAAUGUAGCGGUGAAAUGCUUAGAUAUUACACAGAACACCAAUUGCGAAGGCAGCUUACUAAGCUGUUACUGACGCUGAGGCACGAAAGCGUGGGGAGCAAACAGGAUUAGAUACCCA